GGGGCCUAGCGGGAAGGGGCAGGGCUCGUCGAGGGGCGGGUGUAGAGCCCCGGAGUCUCCACGGCCGAAGGCGGGGGACGGGCCUAGCCAAAAGGGGCGGGCGAGCACGGCCCGCGGGCGGCGGUCACUGGAACGGCUGUACUGGGCGGCUGACCGAGGGGCUGACGCGCGGCGGGGUAGACAGCUGGGGACUGCGGGCGGCGCUGUGUCCGUCGCCAUGACAGAUCAGACGUAUUGUGACCGCCUGGUGCAGGACACGCCUUUCCUGACAGGCCACGGGCGCUUGAGUGAGCAGCAGGUGGACAGGAUCAUCCUCCAGCUGAACCGCUACUACCCACAGAUCCUUACCAACAAGGAGGCGGAAAAGUUCCGGAACCCCAAGGCGUCCUUGCGUGUGCGGCUCUGUGACCUCCUGAGCCACCUGCAGCGGAGCGGCGAGCGGGACUGCCAGGAGUUCUACCGAGCCCUGUAUAUCCAUGCCCAGCCCCUGCACAGCUGCCUGCCCAGCCGCCAUGCUCUGCAGAACUCAGAUUGCACACAGCUAGACUCGGGCAGCCAGAGCGGCGAGCUGAGUGACAGGGGUAACACCUCCCUGCUGCCCCCCCUCUCUCUCCCUCUCUUUCCCUCUCUCUUUACCCUCCCCAGGGCUCCAUCUCCGCCUCAGGGGCUUCUCCACCCCAAGUGUGGCUCCAUUCCUGGCCUUCUGUUGGUGACAGACCCCCUAAGGUGCUCGCUUGGGGGCUCUUCAGGCAGCACCUCAGCCUGGCACCCCCACUCCCCUGCGCAGCCCCCGAGCCUCAGGACCCCACCCCUCUGAGGCCCAGGGGAGCGCUGUUCACGCUGGUUUCUCCCCAGGACCCAUGAGCUUCCUGGCUGGUCUGGGCCUUGCUGUGGGACUGGCCCUGCUCCUGUACUGCUAUCCACCAGACCCCAAGGGCCUGCCAGGGACCCGGCGCGUCCUCGGCUUCUCACCUGUCAUCAUCGACAGACAUGUCAGCCGCUACCUGCUGGCCUUCCUGGCAGAUGACCUAGGGGGGCUCUGACAGACCCCGGACCCAGGGCCUCACUCGCCACUCAGCCAAAGAGUCCUCCAGCCAACCCGCCAAGGGGACUGCUGCUUCUUUUUCUAAAUGCUUAUUUUUCAUUAUUUAUAAUUUGUGUAAAAAACACACCUUCGGCCGGGCGCGGUGGCUCACGCCUGUAAUCCCAGCACUUUGGGAGGCCAAGGCGGGUGGAUCGUGAGGUCA